UUAGAAAUUGCUGAAAAUACUAAACACUAAAAAGUUUGAAGAAUCAGAAGAAAAAUACAAAAACUGAUCACAAAAUAUUGUUACAUUGAAGCUUUUUGUGUGAUUUUUUGGGUUUUAAAGUUUAAAGUAAUCUUUGAUUCAUUAUGGGCUCGAAAUGGUUUCAGGAAGUACUUCCCGAAUCAUGGCUGACUUUUGAAGUGUAAUGUGCAAACGUGAACAUGGAUUCAUGAUGAAAAUUAUUCGAGUUACUGACUUCUUGUUCUUCCCUGUUCCUUCAUCUACUCACUUCUUGUAAUAUUUUAAUUUUAGCUGAAUUCUUUUAGUUUUCUUUGUUAUGGAUGUGGUAUAAAAUGUUUGAUGUUUGGUCUUUGUUUGUUUUCUACUGAAAGUUGUAGAUUUUGGGAUUUAAAAUAGUUGGCCUGAUGAUCUUACAAGAUGUUGCUCAUUGCUUAUAUGAAAGAAGUUUGGAUUAAAGCUCAUUGUAAUUGUUGUUGAGUUAGUUUGGGAAUUGUAUGAAGUGAAAUGCUGCACAAUUCUGCUUUCAUGUCAUCAGCAUUUGGAUUCAAAUACAAAGUUUACUUGAGA